rnacentral:rRNA from 1 species
GAUGAACGCUGGCGGCGUGCUUAACACAUGCAAGUCGAACGGGAAUUAUUUUAUUGAAACUUCGGUCGAUUUAAUUUAAUUCUAGUGGCGGACGGGUGAGUAACGCGUGGGUAACCUGCCUUAUACAGGGGGAUAACAGUCAGAAAUGGCUGCUAAUACCGCAUAAGCGCACAGAGCUGCAUGGCUCAGUGUGAAAAACUCCGGUGGUAUAAGAUGGACCCGCGUUGGAUUAGCUGGUUGGUGGGGUAACGGCCCACCAAGGCGACGAUCCAUAGCCGGCCUGAGAGGGUGAACGGCCACAUUGGGACUGAGACACGGCCCAGAAUCCUACGGGAGGCAGCAGUGGGGAAUAUUGCACGAUGGGGGAAACCCUGAUGCAGCGACGCCGCGUGAAGGAAGAAGUAUCUCGGUAUGUAAACUUCUAUCAGCAGGGAAGAUAGUGACGGUACCUGACUAAGAAGCCCCGGCUAACUACGUG